UACGGGGGGGGCAAGCGUUGUUCGGAAUUACUGGGCGUAAAGGGCGCGUAGGCGGCUUUGCAAGUGACGGGUGAAAUCCCUCGGCUUAACCGAGGAACUGCCUGUCAAACUGCAUGGCUUGAGACCGGGAGAGGUGAGUGGAAUUCCCAGUGUAGCGGUGAAAUGCGUAGAUAUUGGGAGGAACACCAAUGGCGAAGGCAGCUCGCUGGGACGGUACUGACGCUGAGGCGCGAAAACGUGGGGAGCAAACAGGG
rnacentral:rRNA from 1 species